rnacentral:rRNA from 1 species
GAUCAUGGCUCAGGAUUAACGCUGGCGGCGUGCCUAAUACAUGCAAGUCGAAUGGUAGCAAUACCAUGGCGAACGGGUGAGUAACACGUAGGUAACCUGUCUUUAAGCCGAGGAUAACCAUUGGAAACGAUGGAUAAUACUGGAUAGGACAUUUGAAGGCAUCUUUAGAUGUUUAAAGAUUUAUCACUUAGAGAGAGGCCUGCGGCGCAUUAGCUAGUUGGUGAGGUGAAGGCUUACCAAGGCGAUGAUGCGUAGCCGGACUGAGAGGUUGAACGGCCACAAUGGAACUGAGAACGGUCCAUACUCCUACGGGAGGCAGCAGUAGGGAAUUUUCGGCAAUGGGCGGAAGCCUGACCGAGCAACGCCGCGUGAACGAAGAAGUAUUUCGGUAUGUAAAGUUCUUUUAUUAGGGACGAAAAGACAGAUUGACGGUACCUAAUGAAUAAGCUCCGGCUAACUACGUGCCAGCCGCCGC